UACGUAGGGGGCAAGCGUUGUCCGGAAUCAUUGGGCGUAAAGAGCGUGUAGGCGGCCCGGUAAGUCUGUUGUGAAAGUCCAGGGCUCAACCCUGGAAUGCCGAUGGAUACUGCCGGGCUAGAGUUCGGAAGAGGCGAGUGGAAUUCCUGGUGUAGCGGUGGAAUGCGCAGGAUAUCAGGAGGAACACCUAUAGCGAAGGCAGCUCGCUGGGACGACACUGACGCUGAGACGCGAAAGCGUGGGGAGCGAACAGG
rnacentral:rRNA from 1 species